AAGAGAACCAGAGUCCUCCUGGUUGCUGUGUGCAGCAAAAUCGAUAUUCUUUUCCCUCAACUUCUGGAGAAGCUCCUGGCUUAGACCAGGAAGCUGCACACGAACUCUCUGCACACGGUUGCCGAGCUCAGGAGAAAUAGCCUCUACAAUGGCAAUCGUGCCAUUCUCAAACAAAUCAACCUUCUUCACUCUGUCCUUGUCUAGAUACUCAAGGAACCUCGA
rnacentral:misc_RNA from 1 species